rnacentral:tRNA from 2 species
GCCUUCUUGGCUCAGUUGGCUAGAGCGCAGGUCUCAUACGCAAGUAUGAGUGGGUUCAACCCACGAAAUCCUGAGGUCGCAAGUUCGAGCCUUGCAGGGGGCA